CCCCAGACUCCUACGGGAGGCAGCAGUGGGGAAUAUUGCACAAUGGGGGAAACCCUGAUGCAGCGACGCCGCGUGAGCGAUGAAGUAUUUCGGUAUGUAAAGCUCUAUCAGCAGGGAAGAAAAUGACGGUACCUGACUAAGAAGCCCCGGCUAACUACGUGCCAGCAGCCGCGGUAAUACGUAGGGGGCAAGCGUUAUCCGGAUUUACUGGGUGUAAAGGGAGCGUAGACGGCAAUGCAAGCCAGAUGUGAAAGCCCGGGGCUCAACCCCGGGACUGCAUUUGGAACUGUGUAGCUGGAGUGUCGGAGAGGCAGGCGGAAUUCCUAGUGUAGCGGUGAAAUGCGUAGAUAUUAGGAGGAACACCAGUGGCGAAGGCGGCCUGCUGGACGAUGACUGACGUUGAGGCUCGAAAGCGUGGGGAGCAAACAGGAUUAGAUACCCCAGUAC
rnacentral:rRNA from 1 species